CCUCGGGGGGCUGCAGUGGGGAAUAUUGGACAAUGGGCGAAAGCCUGAUCCAGCCAUGCCGCGUGUGUGAAGAAGGCCUUCGGGUUGUAAAGCACUUUCAGUGGGGAAGAAAGCCUUGGGGCUAAUACCCUCGAGGAAGGACAUCACCCACAGAAGAAGCACCGGCUAACUCCGUGCCAGCAGCCGCGGUAAUACGGAGGGUGCGAGCGUUAAUCGGAAUUACUGGGCGUAAAGCGCGCGUAGGCGGUCUGAUAAGCCGGUUGUGAAAGCCCCGGGCUCAACCUGGGAACGGCAUCCGGAACUGUCAGGCUAGAGUGCAGGAGAGGAAGGUAGAAUUCCCGGUGUAGCGGUGAAAUGCGUAGAGAUCGGGAGGAAUACCAGUGGCGAAGGCGGUCUUCUGGACUGACACUGACGCUGAGGUGCGAAAGCGUGGGUAGCAAACAGGAUUAGAUACCCCAGUAGUC
rnacentral:rRNA from 1 species